rnacentral:ncRNA from 1 species
UUUUUGGAGAGUUUGAUCCUGGCUCAGGACGAACGCUGGCGGCGUGCCUAAUACAUGCAAGUCGAGCGGACCUCUUCGGAGGUCAGCGGCGGACGGGUGAGUAACACGUGGGCAACCUGCCUGUAAGACUGGGAUAACUCCGGGAAACCGGAG